AUAUAGCCCUGAUGGAGUGAAAAUCCUUGCCAUUUUUCUUGGCAAGAUUGUAGCGAGAGCAGGAAAUUAG
rfam:Flavobacterium psychrophilum JIP02/86 complete genome